rnacentral:lncRNA from 1 species
UCAAGGGUGACCCAUAAAUGAAGGCAUUUUGCAUGUGAAAAGCUGCAAAGGGUGGAAGACACUGGGAUAUCGGCAGUGAGCAGAGUGCAACUGAGAUUGUUAAUGCUACAAUU